GACGAACGCUGGCGGCGUGCCUAAUACAUGCAAGUAGAACGCACAGUUUAUACCGUAGCUUGCUACACCAUAGACUGCGAGUUGCGAACGGGUGAGUAACGCGUAGGUAACCUGCCUGGUAGCGGGGGAUAACUAUUGGAAACGAUAGCUAAUACCGCAUAAUAUUAAUUAUUGCAUGGUAAUUAAUUGAAAGGUGCAAUUGCACCACUACCAGAUGGACCUGCGUUGUAUUAGCUAGUAGGUGAGGUAACGGCUCACCUAGGCGACGAUACAUAGCCGACCUGAGAGGGGGAGCGGCCACACUGGGACUGAGACACGGCCCAGACUCCUACGGGAGGCAGCAGUAGGGAAUCUUCGGCAAUGGACGAAAGUCUGACCGAGCAACGCCGCGUGAGUGAAGAAGGUUGACGGAUCGUAAAGCUCUGUUGUAAGAGAAGAACGGGUGUGAGAGUGGAAAGUUCACACUGUGACGGUAUCUUACCAGAAAGGGACGGCUAACUACGUG
rnacentral:rRNA from 1 species